AAAUUGAAGAGUUUGAUCAUGGCUCAGAUUGAACGCUGGCGGCAGGCCUAACACAUGCAAGUCGAACGGUAACAGGAAGCGCUUGCUGCUUCGCUGACGAGUGGCGGACGGGUGAGUAAUGUCUGGGAAACUGCCUGAUGGAGGGGGAUAACUACUGGAAACGGUAGCUAAUACCGCAUAACGUCGCAAGACCAAAGAGGGGGACCUUCGGGCCUCUUGCCAUCGGAUGUGCCCAGAUGGGAUUAGCUUGUUGGUGGG
rnacentral:rRNA from 1 species